rnacentral:rRNA from 1 species
UACGGAGGGGGCUAGCGUUGUUCGGAAUUACUGGGCGUAAAGCGCGCGUAGGCGGACCUGCAAGUCGGGGGUGAAAGCCCGAGGCUCAACCUCGGAACUGCCUUCGAUACUGCGGGUCUCGAGUCCGGGAGAGGUGAGUGGAAUUCCUAGUGUAGAGGUGAAAUUCGUAGAUAUUAGGAAGAACACCAGUGGCGAAGGCGGCUCACUGGCCCGGUACUGACGAUCAGGCACGAAAGCGUGGGGAGCAAACAGG